UACCUGCAGCUCAAGUGGUGGCCGCUAUUAUUGGGCCUAAAACGUUCGUAGCCGGUUUAGUAAAUGCUUGGGUAAAUUGUGUCGCUUAACGAUACGAAUACCGGGUAGACUGCUAAACUUGGGACCGGGAGAGGCUAGAGGUACUCCUGGGGUAGAGGUGAAAUUCUGUAAUCCUGGGGGGACCACCAGUGGCGAAGGCGUCUAGCCAGAACGGGUCUGACGGUGAGGAACGAAGCCCUGGGGCGCAAACCGGAUUAGAUACCCGGGUAGUCCAGGGUGUAAACGCUGCUCGCUUGAUGUUAGUUGGGCUCCGAGCCCAACUAGUGUCGGAGAGAAGUUGUUAAGCGAGCUGCCUGGGAAGUACGGUCGCAAGACUGAAACUUAAAGGAAUUGGCGGGGAGCACAGCAACGGGUGGAGCGUGCGGUUU
rnacentral:rRNA from 1 species